rnacentral:rRNA from 1 species
CCUACGGGAGGCAGCAGUGAGGAAUAUUGGUCAAUGGGCGGGAGCCUGAACCAGCCAAGCCGCGUGAGGGAAGACGGUACAGCGUAUCGUAAACCUCUUUUGUCAGGGAACAAAGGCGGGGACUAGUCCCCGGAUGAGGGUACCGGAAGAAAAAGCAUCGGCUAACUCCGUGCCAGCAGCCGCGGUAAUACGGAGGAUGCGAGCGUUAUCCGGAUUUAUUGGGUUUAAAGGGUGCGUAGGCGGAUCGUUAAGUCAGUGGUAAAAUUGAGGGGCUCAACCCCUACCCGCCAUUGAAACUGGCGCUCUUGAGUGGAAUAGAGGUAGGCGGAAUGCGUGGUGUAGCGGUGAAAUGCAUAGAUAUCACGCAGAACCCCGAUUGCGAAGGCAGCAUACCAGCUUCCGACUGACGCUGAGGCACGAAAGCGUGGGGAGCGAACAGGAUUAGAUACCCUAGUAGUC